rnacentral:rRNA from 1 species
UACGUAGGGUGCGAGCGUUGUCCGGAAUUACUGGGCGUAAAGAGCUCGUAGGCGGUCUGUCGCGUCUGCUGUGAAAACUCAGGGCUUAACCCUGAGCUUGCAGUGGGUACGGGCAGACUAGAGUGCGGUAGGGGAGACUGGAAUUCCUGGUGUAGCGGUGAAAUGCGCAGAUAUCAGGAGGAACACCGGUGGCGAAGGCGGGUCUCUGGGCUGACACUGACGCUCAUGCACGAAAGCGUGGGGAGCAAACAGG